GUCGUCGUGGCUCGAGUGGUUAAGGCGACAGACUUGAAAUCUGUUGGGCUUUGCCCGCACAGGUUCGAAUCCUGUCGGCAACG
rfam:Ciona savignyi cont_29449, whole genome shotgun sequence.